rnacentral:lncRNA from 1 species
GCUGUGGGCAGCAUGGUCUAGUGGUUGGUGACCCUGCCUGUGGCAGGGGGGUUGAAACUAGAUAAUCAUUGUGGUCCUUUUCAACCUAGGCCGUUCUAUGCAGCCCCCAAAAACACUUUUCCUGAGAACAGGAGAUGGCCUUCCCCAGGACAUGGUGCUAAGACACCUGGGCACACCAGAUACGUGAGCUGCAAGGGCUGGCACUGGCAGUACAGCACGCGGGGACUGGCUCCGGCGCACACCUGGGCUCAGGUACAGGAACUGCAUCCCAUCCAGAAGCAAAGUGGGAGCUGACAGAUUGUGCAAACAGCCCCUCCCAACAACAUUGCUUUUGGAUUACAUUCUGCACCUCGAUAUGAGCACUGGGCCAAAGGCUGAUGCUUCCCAGCACAGGGAGAGGAAACUGAGGAAAAAAGCAACACCCCCAGUGAGAAGAGGUGCCCAGGCCACUGCUGUUCAGCAGGAGGAAGCAGAGUGGUGUGACUGCUGCGGUUUCGGUUCUCACUCCACCUCACUGCCCAGGAACCAGGACAUUGGCUUGGGAGAGGAAAGAUCCUCUGAGCCAACCUGCUUUGGGGGGCUCCCCCAACCCUACAGAAGGCCUGGAAACAUGAGGGGGGGGCUGGAAAAGCAGGACAUCCCUGCAAACCCCACUCCAGUGUAUUGA